AUUGAACGCUGGCGGCAUGCCUUACACAUGCAAGUCGAACGGUAACAGGUUAAGCUGACGCGUGGCGAACGGGUGAGUCAUCCAUCGGAACGUGCCCAGUAGUGGGGGAUAGCCCGGCGAAAGCCGGAUUAAUACCGCAUACGACCUAAGGGCGAAAGGGGGGGAUCGCAAGACCUCUCGCUAUUGGAGCGGCCGAUGUCAGAUUAGCUAGUUGGUGGGGUAAAAGCUCACCAAGGCGACGAUCUGUAGCUGGUCUGAGAGGACGACCAGCCACACUGGGACUGGGACACGGCCCAGACUCCUACGGGAGGCAGCAGUGGGGAAUUUUGGACAAUGGGCGCAAGCCUGAUCCAGCCAUGCCGCGUGCGGGAAGAAGGCCUUCGGGUUGUAAGCCGCUUUUGUCAGGGGAGAAAUCCUUUGGGUUAAUACCUCGGGGGGAUGACGGUACCUGAAGAAUAAGCACCGGCUAACUACGUG
rnacentral:rRNA from 1 species